rnacentral:misc_RNA from 1 species
GCUCAGGGUGUCGAGGUUGUCGUGCUGCAUGUGGAGUUCAGCCGGUGGCGAAAGCCGCUGGUGCAGUCUCCCGUGGAGCUGGACCGUCAGUUGGGAAGAGACCGGAGGCCUGUUGAUGUCGGUGGUUGGGAGGUACGCCCUGGGGUGGCCCUCGGGUGCCCCGGGGUGACGUAUAGCCAUUCCACCGUGGUCUCUGUCGUCUUCCAGGUGCGAUUGGGACGACCGUUCGUCCGAAAUGGGAAGGUGCAGUCUUCCUCCUUGCGAGGGAGUUCGGGCCGGCUCGGCGGUUGCGUUGUGUUGCGGCACCGUGUUCCGUUCUCUCCCCAUUCUGCCUCGGCAAGUGGGGUUGGAGUGCGGCACGGACUGCAUUUGACAGCGUCCCUUCCGGGUCGUGAUCCAAGUCGA